UACGUAGGUGGCAAGCGUUGUCCGGAUUUACUGGGCGUAAAGAGCGCGCAGGCGGUCGUUCAAGUCGCGUGUGAAAGCCCCCCGGCUCAACUGGGGAGGGUCACGCGAUACUGAUCGACUCGAAGGCAGGAGAGGGUAGUGGAAUUCCCGGUGUAGUGGUGAAAUGCGUAGAUAUCGGGAGGAACACCAGUGGCGAAGGCGACUACCUGGCCUGUUCUUGACGCUGAGGCGCGAAGCUAAGGGAGCAAACGGGG
rnacentral:rRNA from 1 species